UUGCUCGGAAUCACUGGGCGUAAAGGGUGCGUAGGCGGGUCUUUAAGUCAGGGGUGAAAUCCUGGAGCUCAACUCCAGAACUGCCUUUGAUACUGAAGAUCUUGAGUCCGGGAGAGGUGAGUGGAACUGCGAGUGUAGAGGUGAAAUUCGUAGAUAUUCGCAAGAACACCAGUGGCGAAGGCGGCUCACUGGCCCGGUACUGACGCUGAGGCACGAAAGCGUGGGGAGCAAACAGG
rnacentral:rRNA from 1 species